rnacentral:lncRNA from 9 species
AUGGGAGGAGGAUUUGACCAAAAAGCAGACACAGUGAACGAGGGCGCUGAGAGUCUGGAGGAAAGGGUGACCCAGGCUGGUUGGAUUCUUCACUGUGAGUGGGAAUUAAACGCCAGACGUCUACGCUCUCCUCCCGCAUGUGCGGUCCUCCCGCGCCCAUCCUGUGAGCCCCACCCUGUCUCUGAGGCCUUAUUAAAAGUUGCUUCCAAAACUCUGCUGGGCUCCAGGACACUGACAGGCCUGCCUCCCUCAGGUAACAGAGGAGCUAAGCAAUUUUCAUCUCUCCCCUCAAGACCAGACCAGUAACAGCAGCAACCAUUUCCAGCAGGCACAGCUAUGCCCAGCUGAGCGACACACCUGGGGAGAGGAAGCAGCAACAGCCUGGCGGGGCAGGUGACCUGGGGAGGAACAAGAGCCAAUGGCUGGCGAACACAACCCGAGCCAGGCAGCAGACCUCAGGCUCCACAGGCUGCUGCAGGCACCUUAAGGACCUGGCUUCAGCCAGGAACCAGCCAGAAGAAAACAAACCCUGCUGAUUAUGCCAACGGCCCAGUGUUCACAUGGGAAGCCAAACAGGGAACAACAUAGCCACCUAGGCAUUUAAAAAAAAAACAAAAAAAAAAACAAAACAGGAGGCCAAUGCUUGCUGUUCAACUAGGUAAAGACAUGAAGGUGAAAAUAAAACGAACCAGUGAAUAUAACAAAAAGGAAGCAGAUAUGCAGAACGAACUAGUGGUUACCAGUGGGAAGGGGGGGGAGCAAUAUGGGCGAGGGGGUUAAGAGGUACACACACUAUUAUGUAUAAAAUAAGCUACAGGGACGUACUGUACAGCACAGACAAUAUAGCCAAUAUUUUCCUAUAACCAUGAAUGGAGCAUAACCUUUAAAAACGAGGAAUCACUACAGCAUACACCUAUAACACACAGUAUGGUAGAGCAGCUACACUUCAACCACAAAGUCUAGUAGAUGCAAACUGUUACAUUUAGAAUGGAUAAGCAGUGAGGUCCUCCUGCACAGCCCAGGGGCCUUUCCAUCCUCUUGAGAUAGACCCUGGUGGGAGAGAAUAUAAGAAAGGGAAUGGAUGUAUGUGUGUGUGUGGCAGGGUCACUGUGCUGUACAGCAGAAAUUGGCACGACGUUGUAAAUCAACUGUACUUCAAUAAAACUUUAAAAAUGAAAAAAGAAGAAAAGAAAAAAUCUGCAAAAAAUUUAAAAAAAAAGGGGGGGGGGAGUUCCCAUCGUGGCACAGUGGAAACAAAUCCAGCUGGGAACCAUGAGGUUGGGGGUUUGAUCCCUGGCCUCGCUCCGUGGGUUAAGGAUCUGGCGUUGCUGUGAGCUGUGGUGUAGGUCACAGACGUGGCUCAGAUCCCGUGUUGCUGUGGACUGUGGCCUAGGCUGGCGGCUGUAGCUCCGAUUAGACCCUUCACUUGGGAACCUCCAUAUGCCAGAAGUGCAGCCCUAAAAAGCAAAGAAGAAAGAAAGAAAAAGAAAAAAGGAAGGAAGGAAGGAAGGAAGGAAGGAAGGAAGGAAGGAAGGAAGGAAAGAAAGAAAGAAAGAAAGAAAGAAAGAAAGAAAGAAAGAAAGAAAGAAAGAAAGAAAGAAAGGAAGGGAGAGAGAAAGAAAAGAGAGAAACAAAGAAGAGAACAGAUACUCGGGACAGAGCUGGAGCAGUUGUCCCCUGGCAGAAGAUGCUGCCACAUUGUGCCCAAUGGGUAAGAGCUUGAGCUACUGAAAAGACCACGCUGCAGCUGUAUCCAAAAAAGGGGGGAGGCACUCAACACCUCCCUCCAUUUCCAGUCUCUUG